CGGAGCCCUGGCCGCGGUGGGAGCGGUGGAGAACAGGAUGUUGCUUCCAGCGAUGACAUCCCAAGAGAGAACACAGCUGCCAAAAGGAGGGACAGAGCCUGAAACGCCAGGUCCGGAGCGGACGAUUUGUGAUGAAGGACGAGUUUGCUACUCAAACAGCCGCGGAGGGAAUUCCGAGGGCAAUUCUGGCUUCCUGGUACCUUUGCCCAGGAGGAGGAAGGCUGGGAUACAAACUCAUCCCAUGGAGAAGAGCUUAUCCCAGGGAGUAUUUGUGAACCACCAGCUCCAGCUGCCGAACACUCCCCAGUGGAUAAAUCCUGCUGUGGGGUAG
rnacentral:lncRNA from 1 species